rnacentral:rRNA from 1 species
GACGAACGCUGGCGGCGUGCCUAAUACAUGCAAGUAGAACGCUGAAGGAGGAGCUUGCUUCUCCGGAUGAGUUGCGAACGGGUGAGUAACGCGUAGGUAACCUGCCUGGUAGCGGGGGAUAACUAUUGGAAACGAUAGCUAAUACCGCAUAACAGUAGAUGUUGCAUGACAUUUGCUUAAAAGGUGCAAUUGCGUCACUACCAGAUGGACCUGCGUUGUAUUAGCUAGUUGGUGAGGUAACGGCUCACCAAGGCGACGAUACAUAGCCGACCUGAGAGGGUGAUCGGCCACACUGGGACUGAGACACGGCCCAGACUCCUACGGGAGGCAGCAGUAGGGAAUCUUCGGCAAUGGACGGAAGUCUGACCGAGCAACGCCGCGUGAGUGAAGAAGGUUUUCGGAUCGUAAAGCUCUGUUGUAAGAGAAGAACGAGUGUGAGAGUGGAAAGUUCACACUGUGACGGUAUCUUACCAGAAAGGGACGGCUAACUACGUG